rnacentral:rRNA from 1 species
GGCCAGACUCCUACGGGAGGCAGCAGUGAGGAAUAUUGGUCAAUGGGCGGGAGCCUGAACCAGCCAAGCCGCGUGAAGGAAGAAGGCGCCAGGCGUCGUAAACUUCUUUUGUCGGGGAACAAAGGGCGCCACGCGUGGCGUUGUGAGUGUACCCGAAGAAAAAGCAUCGGCUAACUCCGUGCCAGCAGCCGCGGUAAUACGGAGGAUGCGAGCGUUAUCCGGAUUUAUUGGGUUUAAAGGGUGCGUAGGCGGUCCGGAAAGUCAGCGGUAAAAGCCCGGGGCUCAACCCCGUCGUGCCGUUGAAACUGGCGUUCUUGAGUGAGCGAGAAGUAUGCGGAAUGCGUGGUGUAGCGGUGAAAUGCAUAGAUAUCACGCAGAACUCCGAUUGCGAAGGCAGCAUACCGGCGCUCAACUGACGCUCAUGCACGAAAGCGUGGGUAUCGAACAGGAUUAGAUACCCGAGUA